rnacentral:rRNA from 1 species
UACGAAGGGGGCUAGCGUUGUUCGGAAUUACUGGGCGUAAAGGGCGCGUAGGCGGUUUGUCAAGUCAGGCGUGAAAGCCCCGGGCUCAACCUGGGAACUGCGCUUGAGACUGGCAGGCUCGAGUUCGGGAGAGGAUGGUGGAAUUCCCAGUGUAGAGGUGAAAUUCGUAGAUAUUCGGAGGAACACCAGUGGCGAAGGCGGCUCUCUGGCUCGGUACUGACGCUGAGGUGCGAAAGCGUGGGGAGCAAACAGG